AAGCCAGACUCCUACGGGAGGCAGCAGUGGGGGAUAUUGGACAAUGGGGGAAACCCUGAUCCAGCGACGCCGCGUGAGUGAAGAAGUAUUUCGGUAUGUAAAGCUCUAUCAGCAGGGAAGAAAGAAAUGACGGUACCUGAGUAAGAAGCCCCGGCUAACUACGUGCCAGCAGCCGCGGUAAUACGUAGGGGGCAAGCGUUAUCCGGAAUUACUGGGUGUAAAGGGAGCGUAGACGGUAAUGCAAGUCUGGAGUGAAAGGCGGGGGCCCAACCCCCGGACUGCUCUGGAAACUGUGUAAUUGGAGUGCAGGAGAGGCAGGCGGAAUUCCUAGUGUAGCGGUGAAAUGCGUAGAUAUUAGGAGGAACACCAGUGGCGAAGGCGGCCUGCUGGACUGUAACUGACGUUGAGGCUCGAAAGCGUGGGGAGCAAACAGGAUUAGAUACCCUCGUAU
rnacentral:rRNA from 1 species